rnacentral:tRNA from 1 species
GCCUGGGUGGCUCAGUGGGUUGAGCGUCUGACUUCAGCUCAGGUCAUGACCUCGUGGUCUGUGAGUUCGAGCCCCACGUUGGGCU